AGGUAUCUGAUAGAUAGCUUUCCUUGUGGGCGACCUAUUCCAAAAACAGGAAUCAAUUUAUGCAGAUCAAAUACAAUACAAUGCCAUCUCUGUGCUAUUAGAAGCUUUCUCCAAUGGCUGGACAGUGAUUUGAUCAACCAAGCCAAUUUAAUUGACACCAUCUAUUUUUGAAAACAAUUAAGAUGAUGAGAAUUUUGAGAGUUAAGCAGCAGGAUGGAUGGAUAUGGAUGACUCGCUUCGCAUUUACACGCAUAUGAGCACAUAAUGGUUGAGUUUUUAAUGUUUGAGAGAUGUUGUGCAAGUAGGACCAACCACCCUCCUCCGUCGUAGUCGCCGUCCUCCUCCUCCCAAAAAAGAAAAGAAAAUAGCAUCACACACUCAUAGAUGAGAUUUCAUGACAGAUACAUUCGAUAUGUACAUAUGACCAACCACCCCCGCCCUCCUCCUCCUCCUCCUAAAAAAAAAAAAGAAGAAGAAGAAAAAGAGGUCUUGAUUGAGGGUUGCAGUUGUGAGAAUUAAUGGCAUCCAUUCUCUUUUGCUUUCCA